UACGUAGGGGGCUAGCGUUGUCCGGAAUCAUUGGGCGUAAAGCGCGUGUAGGCGGCUCGGUAAGUCCGCUCUGAAAGCCCGGGGCUCAACCCCGGGAGGCGGGCGGAUACUGUCGAGCUAGAGUCCGGAAGAGGCGAGUGGAAUUCCUGGUGUAGCGGUGAAAUGCGCAGAUAUCAGGAGGAACACCAAUAGCGAAGGCAGCUCGCUGGGACGGUACUGACGCUGAGACGCGAAAGCGUGGGGAGCAAACAGG
rnacentral:rRNA from 1 species